AUUGAACGCUGGCGGCAGGCCUAACACAUGCAAGUCGAACGGGUAGCGGACGGGUGAGUAAUGCAUGGGCAUCUGGCUUAUGGAGGGAGAUAACUAGGGUAAACCUUGGCAAAUAGCGCGUACCACAGGAUGAGCCCAAGUGGGAUUAGGUAGUUGGUGAGGUAUAGGCUCACCAAGCCGACGAUGUCUAGCGGGUCUGAGAGGAUGACCAGCCACACUGGGACUGAGACACGGCCCAGACUCCUACGGGAGGCAGCAGUGGGGAAUAUUGCGCAAUGGGCGAAAGCUGACGCAGCAAUGCCGCGUGAAUGAAGAAGGCCUUCGGGUUGUAAAGUUCUUUCGGUAGCGAGGCGUUAUCUACAGAAGAAGCAACGGCUAACUCCGUGCCAGCAGCCGCGGUAAUAC
rnacentral:rRNA from 1 species